rnacentral:rRNA from 2 species
CACCGCGGUUAUACGAGAGACCCAAGUUGACAAAUUCCGGCGUAAAGCGUGGUUAGGAAGUACUUAAACUAAAGUCGAACACCUUCAAAGCUGUUAUACGCACCCGAAGGCCUGAAGAACAUACACGAAAGUAACUUUACAAACUCUGAAGCCACGAAAGCUAAGAUA